ensembl:snRNA U6 U6 spliceosomal RNA
GUGCUCACUUUGGCAGCACAUAUGCUAAAAUUGGAACAAUACAGAGAAGAUUAUCAUGGCCCCUGUGGAAAGAUAACACACAAAUUCAUGAAGCUGUCCAUAUGUGC